rnacentral:rRNA from 1 species
UACGGGGGGAGCAAGCGUUGUUCGGAUUUACUGGGCGUAAAGGGCGCGUAGGCGGCGCAACAAGUCACUUGUGAAAUCUCCGGGCUUAACCCGGAGCGGUCAAGUGAUACUGUCGUGCUAGAGUGGCGGAAGGGGCUACUGGAAAUUCUCGGUGUAGCGGUGAAAUGCGUAGAUAUCGAGAGGAACACCUGGCGGCGAAGGCGGGUAGCUGGCCGACACUG